AAUGAACCGGCGAGUUACGAUUUGAUGCAAGGUUAAGCAGUAAAUGUGGAGCCGUAGCGAAAGCGAGUCUGAAUAGGGCGUUUAGUAUUUGGUCGUAGACCCGAAACCAGGUGAUCUACCCUUGGUCAGGUUGAAGUUCAGGUAACACUGAAUGGAGGACCGAACCGACUUACGUUGAAAAGUGAGCGGAUGAACUGAGGGUAGCGGAGAAAUUCCAAUCGAACCUGGAGAUAGCUGGUUCUCUCCGAAAUAGCUUUAGGGCUAGCCUCAAGUGAUGAUUAUUGGAGGUAGAGCACUGUUUGGACGAGGGGCCCCUCUCGGGUUACCGAAUUCAGACAAACUCCGAAUGCCAAUUAAUUUAACUUGGGAGUCAGAACAUGGGUGAUAAGGUCCGUGUUCGAAAGGGAAACAGCCCAGACCACCAGCUAAGGUCCCAAAAUAUAUGUUAAGUGGAAAAGGAUGUGGCGUUGCCCAGACAACUAGGAUGUUGGCUUAGAAGCAGCCAUCAUUUAAAGAGUGCGUAAUAGCUCACUAGUCGAGUGACACUGCGCCGAAAAUGUACCGGGGCUAAACAUAUUACCGAAGCUGUGGAUUGUCCUUUGGACAAUGGUAGGAGAGCGUUCUAAGGGCGUUGAAGCAUGAUCGUAAGGACAUGUGGAGCGCUUAGAAGUGAGAAUGCCGGUGUGAGUAGCGAAAGACGGGUGAGAAUCCCGUCCACCGAUUGACUAAGGUUUCCAGAGGAAGGCUCGUCCGCUCUGGGUUAGUCGGGUCCUAAGCUGAGGCCGACAGGCGUAGGCGAUGGAUAACAGGUUGAUAUUCCUGUACCACCUAUAAUCGUUUUAAUCGAUGGGGGGACGCAGUAGGAUAGGCGAAGCGUGCGAUUGGAUUGCACGUCUAAGCAGUAAGGCUGAGUAUUAGGCAAAUCCGGUACUCGUUAAGGCUGAGCUGUGAUGGGGAGAAGACAUUGUGUCUUCGAGUCGUUGAUUUCACACUGCCGAGAAAAGCCUCUAGAUAGAAAAUAGGUGCCCGUACCGCAAACCGACACAGGUAGUCAAGAUGAGAAUUCUAAGGUGAGCGAGCGAACUCUCGUUAAGGAACUCGGCAAAAUGACCCCGUAACUUCGGGAGAAGGGGUGCUCUUUAGGGUUAACGCCCAGAAGAGCCGCAGUGAAUAGGCCCAAGCGACUGUUUAUCAAAAACACAGGUCUCUGCUAAACCGUAAGGUGAUGUAUAGGGGCUGACGCCUGCCCGGUGCUGGAAGGUUAAGAGGAGUGGUUAGCUUCUGCGAAGCUACGAAUCGAAGCCCCAGUAAACGGCGGCCGUAACUAUAACGGUCCUAAGGUAGCGAAAUUCCUUGUCGGGUAAGUUCCGACCCGCACGAAAGGCGUAACGAUUUGGGCACUGUCUCAACGAGAGACUCGGUGAAAUCAUAGUACCUGUGAAGAUGCAGGUUACCCGCGACAGGACGGAAAGACCCCGUGGAGCUUUACUGUAGCCUGAUAUUGAAAUUCGGCACAGCUUGUACAGGAUAGGUAGGAGCCUUUGAAACGUGAGCGCUAGCUUACGUGGAGGCGCUGGUGGGAUACUACCCUAGCUGUGUUGGCUUUCUAACCCGCACCACUUAUCGUGGUGGGAGACAGUGUCAGGCGGGCAGUUUGACUGGGGCGGUCGCCUCCUAAAAGG
rnacentral:rRNA from 1 species